rnacentral:lncRNA from 1 species
AGAAAGGUAACAUCACACACACAAAAGUAGAUGAUAAGAAUUUAAGAUCUCUGGACGUGUGCCUGUACUCACCUACUUGAGAGGCUCCUGUGGAUACUAAGCAGUUGUUCUGCCAUGGGCCUGCAUCUCCAGCAGUUGUUCUGCCAUGGGCCUGCAUCUCCAGCAAGUGCUGACGUCAUUAAAAUAUUCACCACAAUCGCACUGCUUCGUGUAACCUAACAGUGAGCUUUGAACUUCUCUGAAACUUGGAAAGUAAAAGAUCUUGGAUGUGAGUCAUGGAAAUGAACCUGAACUGAGAGUUGCUUUCCAAAGACUAUCUCACCACUGGGAUUCAGGCUGAACAAAGGAGUUAGAUUCAGAGGAAACGAAAUAUUGGAGGCUGGCUGAGCUGAGAUCCGAGUGGCAGGCAUAUCAGAGCCCCUGACUGACAUCUUCUCACUUCUGAACCAGAGUCCUUUCUCCUGAACUGUGCUGACCACACCUUUCAUACCAAGAUACGUUGAUUGCACCCAGAGACCAAAGGACACCGUGAUUUGAUCCCCUGAGCUGAAUGCUUUCCAUGUUCCAGGCAGUGUGACAGUGUCUCUCACGUGAGAAAGAAACAGGGAUUCUCUGUAUAGCCCUGCUGUCCUGGAACUCAUGCUGCAGAUGAGGCUGACCCUUGAAGUGAGAGAGCUGCUUGCCCCUGCCUUCUUACUGCUGAGAUUAAAGGUCUGUGUAUCAUUUUUGAGAUAAACUCAGUGUAAACUAUAAGGCAAAGACAUGUUCGAAUUUAAUCUACAUAUAACACCCAGCAUGGAGAGAAUCAGAAACCAAGAGCAUGGUGUACUCAGUCUAACCCACAGGUUAUGGGCCAGAGCUUCAUAAUGAAAUAGUGAAAUGAGAAUGUAUGUUUUUUAUCAAGGAGUUCAUUGUCCUUUCUGGUACACUACACCACCCAGUGCCUAAUCUGUCUAAACAGGAGGCAGGGCUGACACAGCGACCUCCUCAUGUGGAAUCACCCGGAACCAUUUCUGUUCCAGCUCUUCUGUUUUUUGGCAAGUGCAUGUGAGUUUCUGGAUGACUUAUACUGAUUUUAGAUCAAGCAUGAGACUCAGAAUAGUUACUGGGUGACAUAAAAUGACAGAAACACCUUUGUACUGAGCGGAACUUCUGUGUUGGUGAAAUGAUAAAUAUAAAUGCAAAC